UCGGAAUAAAGCAAGUUUAAAAGAAAUAAGAAAAUGCCAAAUUGGGAAAGCAAGUGAAGACUACAGUUCAUUUUUAAGAUACAAAUGUUUCCCUAGAAAAGGAUUAAUUUGUAACGCUCUUCAAAAAUCUAAAAGUUCCUACGUGAUAAAGUAUAAUUUCUCACUCCUCAUCUGAAUAUUUGGGUUAACGUUUUCAACAACACGAAUUCCAAACAAUGAAAUAAAAGCUAAGCUUCGUCGCAUAUAAAAGCCGGAAAUUGGAUCCCAAUAUUGGAGUUACUUUUAAAAUCUGAUCGGAAACGAAACAAGUUUAGAAUGGUGAAGCUGGCAGCAUUUGUGUUCUGCAUGAUAGUGUCUGGGUGUUCUUAUCCUGGCAUCCUGGUGGGUUCUUCGAAGUCUCAUGCACAUCACAAGGAAGAAAUGGAGUGCAACGCAUACUGCUUCAAAUCGGUAGAGCCAACCUUGGAGAUCAUCCAAUCUGUAUCCGAUAAACUUCAUGGCCUUAGGAUAAUGAAGAGGUUCGAGAAAAUCGGGUCGGACUGGUAUUAUAUGGAAAACCUAAAUAAGCUAAAUUGGAAAUCUGCGAUUAGCUUCUGUGAGAAGAUAGGGUCUAAUCUGCUCGUUAUUGAGGACAUUUGAUGAGUAUAAAGCCCUCUUGGAGAAAGUGUCACGGCAGGCAAAAUAUUGGCUGGGACUCGGCAAUCAUGGAAAGGGCGCAAAUUACACCACGAUUAGCGGAGAGCAAGAAUUGGCUAACUUUUAUACAGAGUAUAAUGGGCCUCCCGAUCAUUGCACCUAUUUCUCCUAUAUUGAAACGAUGAAUGUUCGCUGUAGUAAUGCCUUGGCCCUACAUUUGCAAGUUAAAAGAAAAAAUCAUUUCACCUGAAAUAUUUGCGAAACAAAAAUGAAUUAUUCUAAAUGUCUUCAUAUUUCUAUAUUUCAACAUAGAAAAUCCAAAUAAAAAAUUUGAAGAGUGGUUAAAGUUAAAAAUUAAAUUUUCAUAUUCUCAAAUUAAGAUUGCAUUUCAAGUUAACCGGGGUGAAGGUUUCAUUUCCAAUAAAAACUGUCUAAAAAUGACAUCUAAUUGCAUUUCUAGCCUUUCUGCUUGAAAUCUAACUUAAGCACUCCAAUAACUACUGUAAUGAUAUACAAAAGUAAUAAAUAAACCAUUUAAUAUUUA